GAUGAACGCUGGCGGCGUGCCUAAUACAUGCAAGUCGAGCGAACAGACGAGGAGCUUGCUCCUCUGACGUUAGCGGCGGACGGGUGAGUAACACGUGGAUAACCUACCUAUAAGACUGGGAUAACUUCGGGAAACCGGAGCUAAUACCGGAUAAUAUAUCGAACCGCAUGGUUCAAUAGUGAAAGACGGUUUUGCUGUCACUUAUAGAUGGAUCCGCGCCGGAUGAGCUAGUUGGUAAGGUAACGGCCUACCAAGGCGACGAUGCGUAGCCGACCUGAGAGGGUGAUCAGCCACACUGGAACUGAGACACGGUCCAGACUCCUACGGGAGGCAGCAGUAGGGAAUCUUCCGCAAUGGGCGAAAGCCUGACGGAGCAACGCCGCGUGAGUGAUGAAGGUCUUCGGAUCGUAAAACUCUGUUAUUAGGGAAGAACAAAUGUGUAAGUAACUAUGCACGUCUUGACGGUACCUAAUCAGAAAGCCACGGCUAACUACGUG
rnacentral:rRNA from 1 species